GACGAACGCUGGCGGCGUGCUUAACACAUGCAAGUCGAGCGGAAAGGCCCUGCUUUUGUGGGGUGCUCGAGUGGCGAACGGGUGAGUAACACGUGAGUAACCUGCCCUUGACUUUGGGAUAACUUCAGGAAACUGGGGCUAAUACCGGAUAGGAGCUCCUGCUGCAUGGUGGGGGUUGGAAAGUUUCGGCGGUUGGGGAUGGACUCGCGGCUUAUCAGCUUGUUGGUGGGGUAGUGGCUUACCAAGGCUUUGACGGGUAGCCGGCCUGAGAGGGUGACCGGCCACAUUGGGACUGUGAUACGGCCCAGACUCCUACGGGAGGCAGCAGUGGGGAAUAUUGCACAAUGGGCGGAAGCCUGAUGCAGCAACGCCGCGUGCGGGAUGACGGCCUUCGGGUUGUAAACCGCUUUCGCCUGUGACGAAGCGUGAGUGACGGUAAUGGGUAAAGAAGCACCGGCUAACUACGUG
rnacentral:rRNA from 1 species